UAGGGAAUAUUGGACAAUGGGGGCAACCCUGAUCCAGCAAUGCCGCGUGAGUGAUGAAGGCCUUAGGGUUGUAAAGCUCUUUUACCCGGGAUGAUAAUGACAGUACCGGGAGAAUAAGCCCCGGCUAACUCCGUGCCAGCAGCCGCGGUAAUACGGAGGGGGCUAGCGUUGUUCGGAAUUACUGGGCGUAAAGCGCACGUAGGCGGCGAUUUAAGUCAGAGGUGAAAGCCCGGGGCUCAACCCCGGAAUAGCCUUUGAGACUGGAUUGCUUGAACAUCGGAGAGGUGAGUGGAAUUCCGAGUGUAGAGGUGAAAUUCGUAGAUAUUCGGAAGAACACCAGUGGCGAAGGCGGCUCACUGGACGAUUGUUGACGCUGAGGUGCGAAAGCGUGGGGAGCAAACAGGAUUAGAUACCC
rnacentral:rRNA from 1 species